GCACACCUACGGGGGGCAGCAGUGGGGAAUAUUGCACAAUGGGCGAAAGCCUGAUGCAGCAACGCCGCGUGAAGGAAGACGGUUUUCGGAUUGUAAACUUCUAUCAAUAGGGAAGAAAGAAAUGACGGUACCUAAAUAAGAAGCCCCGGCUAACUACGUGCCAGCAGCCGCGGUAAUACGUAGGGGGCAAGCGUUAUCCGGAUUUACUGGGUGUAAAGGGAGCGUAGACGGCAGCACAAGUCUGGAGUGAAAUCCCGGGGCUUAACCCCGGAACUGCUUUGGAAACUGUGCGGCUGGAGUGCAGG
rnacentral:rRNA from 1 species